rnacentral:misc_RNA from 1 species
GCCUCCUUGAAAUUACCAGUCCUGCACAAGCCAUCAAUAAAGAUAGUGUGGGUGUACUUGUCAGACUCCAACCCUUUUUUUUCUGCCUCGUGUAACAAUUUAUAAGCAUUAUCCAGCUGACCUUCCUUACAAUAUAGAUUAACAAUGGUAUUAAAAGACACCAUAUCAAGGUCAAAACCAUUUGUAAUUAUAUAGCCCAGGUACUCGUUGGCCUCAUUCAUCUUCCCAGUUUUAAGUAACAUACUUGCAACUGUACAGUAAGCAAAGGCAUCAUAUGUAUAUCCUUUGUUUCUCAUCUCUG